rnacentral:rRNA from 1 species
UAUUGGUCAAUGGACGCGAGUCUGAACCAGCCAAGUAGCGUGAAGGAUGACUGCCCUAUGGGUUGUAAACUUCUUUUAUAUGGGAAUAAAGUUUUCCAUGUGUGGACUUUUGUAUGUACCAUAUGAAUAAGGAUAGGUUAACCCCGUACCAGCAGCCGCGGUAAUACGGAGGAUCCGAGCGUUAUCCGGAAUUACUGGGUUUAAAGGGAGCGUAGGUGGACAGUUAAGUCAGUUGUGAAAGUUUGCGGCUCAACCGUAAAAUUGCAGUUGAUACUGGCUGUCUUGAGUACAGUAGAGGUGGGCGGAAUUCGUGGUGUAGCGGUGAAAUGCUUAGAUAUCACGAAGAACUCCGAUUGCGAAGGCAGCUCACUGGACUGCAACUGACACUGAUGCUCGAAAGUGUGGGUAUCAAACAG